CCUACGGGGGGCUGCAGUGGGGAAUAUUGGACAAUGGGGGCAACCCUGAUCCAGCCAUGCCGCGUGUGUGAAGAAGGCCCUCGGGUUGUAAAGCACUUUCAGUGAGGAAGAACGCCUGGUGGUUAAUACCCAUCAGGAAAGACAUCACUCACAGAAGAAGCACCGGCUAACUCCGUGCCAGCAGCCGCGGUAAUAUGGAGGGUGCGAGCGUUAAUCGGAAUUACUGGGCGUAAAGCGCGCGUAGGUGGCUUGAUAAGCCGGUUGUGAAAGCCCCGGGCUCAACCUGGGAACGGCAUCCGGAACUGUCAAGCUAGAGUGCAGGAGAGGAAGGUAGAAUUCCCGGUGUAGCGGUGAAAUGCGUAGAGAUCGGGAGGAAUACCAGUGGCGAAGGCGGCCUUCUGGACUGACACUGACACUGAGGUGCGAAAGCGUGGGUAGCAAACAGGAUUAGAUACCCUAGUAGUC
rnacentral:rRNA from 1 species